rnacentral:rRNA from 1 species
AACGAACGCUGGCGGCAUGCCUAACACAUGCAAGUCGAACGGGAUCCUGGCUUCGGUCAGGUGAGAGUGGCGGACGGGUGAGUAACGCGUGGGAACCUGCCCAGUGGUGGGGGAUAACUGCGGGAAACUGCAGCUAAUACCGCAUGAGCCCGAGAGGGGAAAGAUUUAUCGCCAUUGGAGGGGCCCGCGUUCGAUUAGGUAGUUGGUGAGGUAACGGCUCACCAAGCCGACGAUCGAUAGCUGGUCUGAGAGGAUGAUCAGCCUCACUGGGACUGAGACACGGCCCAGACUCCUACGGGAGGCAGCAGUGGGGAAUAUUGGACAAUGGGCGAAAGCCUGAUCCAGCAAUGCCGCGUGAGUGAUGAAGGCCUUAGGGUUGUAAAGCUCUUUUACCCGGGAUGAUAAUGACAGUACCGGGAGAAUAAGCCCCGGCUAACUCCGUGCCAGCAGCCGCGGUAAU